GUUUGACCUCGGAUCAGGUAGGAAUACCCGCUGAACUUAAGCAUAUCAAUAAGCGGA
rnacentral:rRNA from 2 species